GAAUUGCUAGUAAUCGCGGAUCAGCAUGCCGCGGUGAAUACGUUCCCGGGCCUUGUACACACCGCCCGUCACACCAUGGGAGCCGGUAAUACCCGAAGUCAGUAGUCCAACCUCGUGAGGACGCUGCCGAAGGUAGGAUUGGCGACUGGGGUGAAGUCGUAACAAGGUACC
rnacentral:rRNA from 1 species